CCUUUUUACGACAGAUAGAAAUAACAAACAAAAGAGAAAACGUAACACACAUUACUUUGAAUGAUAUUUUUUUUUAUCAAAUCCUCUAUCGGAAGAAUAAGUUUGAUACACUUGGAUUCGAUUUAUUCGGAUACGCAAAUACCAACAAGCCUAUCUGCUUUUGUAUCGAUCGAUACAUCGUUACUCAAGGACACGAGAUUUGUCGAAAAGUGAUUUUGCAAUAUUCUUAUUUGUGUAUAUUUUAAAAUAUGUAUAAGUAAAUAUCGAGAUGUAUUAUAAUAUGUCAGAUAGAAAACGUACGUGUACAGAAAGAAUUAUACAUUUUUCAAUUUUUCUGACCCUCUUAAACGCGACCUUUGUUGCGCGCAAAAUAUAAUUUUCCUACGAUAUAUACAAAUCUUUAGAAAAUAUUAAAUUCCGGAAGGAGAAUGAAGAAAAGAGAGAACUUAAGAAAUGUUAUGCAGGUAUAUAAAUAAGCAUGUACUAACACAAAGACAUACAUACAUACAUACAUAAAGUACAUAUUAUAUGUAUUUUGAUAAUAGUCGAAAGUUUUUCAUCUAAUUUUUCUGUGCCUAACGCAGAUGGCAAAUGUCGGCCACUCGAUUAGUCAUGCACUUUUCUUAGAAGUCGAUAAACGCCGUUGCACUGAGUAUAUGACUAUUCUUGUUCCAAGGUAUAUAAAUAUUUAUCGAUUCGUAUCAGCUGCCAACCUGGCCACCUGCGCCGCUUAAACGCAAAAAAGAUAUCCAUCCUGCUAUGGACUUCCUUUCUUUCUUUUUCCCCCCCCCCUCCCCUCUGUCUUUUUUCUUCACAUUUCUUUUUUUCUAUUUUAUUAUUUCUUUUAGCUACGAUCAGCACUGUAACCACUGCGAAAAAAACAAAAAAAAACAAAAAAAAAAGAGCUCAAAGGUUUAUUUAUUUAUUAUAUACACACGUCCUUUUCAGCAACAUUUUUAUUUCUUAUAUCUACGAUGUGACGAUAACGACGACUAUUGUUCCGAACGUGUAUGUGUAUCUAUCGUAUACAUUUGUACCUAUCAUCGGCAAUUGAACUAUCCGUUAACGCGCGAAAUCAUUCUAGACAAGACUGACUUGAUUAAUGCACGAUCGAACGAAAUUACACGAAUUAUGUUACAUGGGAUAGGAAAAAAAAUAAAUUGCUUUGCAAUAAUCCUCAGAUAUAAUAAAUCGCUUUACAAUACAUACACGCGAUACAAUAAAAAAAGAAAAAAAUGAAAGAACAAGAGAGAGAGAGAGAGAGAGAGAGAGAGAGUAGUAGGACAAAUCGCAUGAUACGAGAGAAUAAAAAUGCACUUUCCUUUUGCAUAAUAAUGUUCUUUGCUCAAUCAAUGAAUCCCCUUUUAAAUAACGAUGAAUAAUUUAUUUAGGAUUCGAUCGAGUACAGAAGGACCAUACGAACAAAAAAUUGCAUCGCUACAUCGACCAAGCUGGAACAACAACUAGAACACAGCCACGAGUUUGCAAUUCUAAGACUGCGAUGGAAAGAGAUGGGAAUAUAAUAGAAAGCCGACAACGAAGCGCACAAAUUAAUCUAAACAUUGAAUUUUACAAAUCGGGAUUAUUUAUUGUACAGCUACGAAUCAGAAAAAUAAAAUGUCAAUUUUAAUUUUUAGCGAAUGAUUAUAAACGAAAGAGAAACAAUGAUAAAAUUGAUGCUUGUGCAAGGAUUCGUAACAAGCAUAGAAAAACGGCUGGGGAAAAGAAAAUAGAAAAUAGAAAAGAAAAAGAAGAGAUUGAUAAAAAAAAAUAUAAAAAAGGAUUGGGUCUAGAGGGUACAGGUUGAGCACAUCAAGAGCUUUAUUUAAGAGCAUAUAUGAUAUGCACGACAAUCACGAUGGACGACGUGUCUCCCAUGUGGCUUGUGUGCGUUAACUUUGAAGAGAACAUGUUCUGUACAAAAAAAAAAAAAAAAAGAAAAGAAAAGAAAGAAAAAAAAAACAUAAAGAAAUUAUGGCAGCGUGCUUUAUGUGCAUGUCGACGAUAAAAAAGCGGGUACGGCACGACGCGUAGAUCAUCGCAACUUUUUGCUUUAUCGCUUUUAUCUACGUCGUCGUCCUGUUGCCUUUUCUUUUUUUUUUUUUUUUUUUUUUUUUUAAUUUUUUUUUAAUUUUUUUUCUCCUCCUUCACAUAUAUCUUUUUUUUUUCAGGCUGCAGUUUUCGAUACUCAAUACGAGCAAACAAAGAAUAAAGAAGAGUGAUUGCAUACAUGAGAGGGUUGUUUUCCUGGUUGUUCGGUGGUUGCGAAGUUACGGAACGCCUUGGUCGCCAUAAGGCGAAUCUGGGCAAGGUAUAUCUUGUCAUGUUUCAACAAGUAUCGUUUUCCAAGGGCCUCUUCUCCUUCUCUCGACCUUUUAUCCUUGUUAUUCCUUCCUACACUCUUACUCCUUCUUUUUCUCUCUCUCUCUCUAUCUCUCUCUCGUCGAAUCACUUGAUUCGCAAAAUGUUAACUUGAUUUUUAAGAAAUAUCAUCGAUAUUUUAUCCCAUGCAUGAUUUUAUUUAUUUUACUAAAGCACGUUGAUUAUAUUCUUUCUUUCUUUCUCUUAAUUCUCUCUGUGUAUUUCGUCAGGGACGAAUUAAUGAAAAUCGAUCGUUUAUCUGGUUUCUCUUUCCAUUUGUCUUAUUCUUGACGUAACUCGAUCCUUCUUCUUCUUCUUCUUCUUCUUCUUCUUCUAUGUGUCGUCGUUUUCUUCUUCUUCUUCUUGGCUUUGACGUACACGCAAAGGUUGUGGGCGGAAUUCGUUGCAAAUAAGCGAAGAACAAAGAGUAGAAUCGCUCAAGUUCAAAAUUGGAACAUCAGUCUUCCAGAUCUCACUGAUAUCGAUAUUUGUCAUCCACCGUUAUUAUUUUCCCUUUUUUCGAUCGAAAAACUGAUCGAUUAUAUAUUUUUUUUAAAUUGAAUUUACGAUAGACGGUAGUACUUCUUAGAUUUGGAAAGAACGUAGCAAAAAUAUCGAAUUAGAUUUCAUUUUCGUAAUCCACUUUUUCUUCAAUUUUUCUCCUGUCGACUCGAAGACAGACAGAGUAUGGUUUUUUUUUUUUUUUUAAAUAUGAACACUAGGUAAAUGCAAGAUAAGCUCUGGUUAAACGAUAGCACAGCCAAUAUUUUAAUUGAUAAUGAAGUUUUAGUGAAGCAUUUUCGCUGUCCAACACUUUUCCUUCAUCCAUUGUAUGUUUCUAUUUGUCUUUUUAUAUCUCCCUAUUUAUUUCUCUCACAAUAAUUUUAUUGCAAAUAUAGUCGAUGAAAUGUUGUACAUACCAUUUAGGAAUCUUUCUUCUAAUGCUUUGUAACGGCAAAUAGAGCGUCUUGGUAGUCAAGGUAUUGGACAUGCGCGUUGAAAAUGAUUUUCUUUGUCAAUGGCAGCGUUCAAGAAGUUUCAAGGAAUCAACAAAUCGCAACCCCUCCACCCUGUUAACUUCGAUUAACAAAAAGAAAUUUGUGUAAUUCUUCUCCAUUUCGAUUCCUCGAUUGACAAUUUGAAAGAUACAAAAUUUCGAUCAAUAUGCUGAACAAAUGAAAAUGUUUUCUCUUAAUGUAAUCUCUCCCUCUCUAUUUCUCAUUUUCUCUUUUAUACAUAUACACACGCAUACAUACAUCAGUAAUUUUUUGAAUCUUUUCUAUUUUAAACACUUUGAUCAACGUUUUAAUAAAAAACAAAAAAGAUAAUAGAUCUUUGCGCAGAUUUGGCAUCGAUAAUACUUCAUCAUACUUGUUAUUUUCUUUCGAAUAUUAAAUACCGUUUAUAGAAAAAAAAUGAACGAAUCAAAGAUCAAAGAUAUUUCGUGCGAAACGACAUUCAAUAAAAGAGAUUUCGCAUCGAUAUCUCCGAUGAUAACCGAUUAAUAUUAACGAUAGGAUCGAAAGAAUCGAAGCGCGAGAAAUGUAUCGUGCUUCUUCUAAUCGAUUGUUAUCCUUUUUUAUACCACUCAAUGAACGACUCCAACCCCAUCGUCCCCCCUUCGUCUUUCGCGGUAAUUCACUCAUUCGCAUAGCGUUGUCCUUUCUAUUUUUAUUUCUACUACGAAAAUUUAAAAAUCAAUUAAACAAUGAGAAUCUUAAAUAAUGUCGAAGGAAACAUGUAGAUAGUUCAAAAUGUUCGUAUUGACGUUGCAUACGACUCGAAGGUCAUCCUUUGAUUUGUAUGUAUAGAUAAAGAUAGAUAGAGAUAGAGAUAGAGAUAGAAGGAGAGACAGAGAGAGAAAAAAAGAUCGAUUCUCUCUAGGAAAUAGUUUAAGCGCCACCACGUUACGGUAUCCUUAAGAGAAAGUAUUAUAGAAGAGAUUGUCGAUGCGAAAGGAACUAUUUUCCUCCCCCCUUAACCACCCUCCUCCGACCUUGUCUUUCUCUCUUCCUUCUUAUCAAAGAGAUUACGAUCGCGGUAUGGAAAAUCAAUCGGCAAUAGGAGAAUCGUAAGAAUAAUGCUCUCUAUAUAUAUAUUCAAUGCUAAGGAACGUGACCUAGAUGAAUCGCCGCCACGCCUUUUCCCAACGGCUAAUCAUUUCUGAACCACCAUCUUGCUUUUUGUUUGUUCCAUUAACGAUUCCUUCCUUCCUUCCUUCCUGGGUUACUUCGAUGUUCCUUUCAUUUUUAGUUUUGUUUCUUUCCUCAGGAGUUCCCUUUCUUCAUAAUUUUCAACUUCGUCGGAUGCUACGUUCUCCGUAUCGAUUCUCGAAAGGGUCGCAAGGUCUGACAAUGAGAAGGCAUCGUUCUGUCUCUCCUUUAACUUUUUAGUUGUCAGUUGAUAUCUAUCUAAAGCAUAACUAAAGAUAAACUUUGACGCGUCAGGUUAAAGAUUAUACCUUAUUCUCUCGUUUAUAUAUUGAUUCAAUUUAGAAACGUUUACAUUCUAAGGGAUAAAAAAGUCAACUCGUCCAUUUUGAAAGGGUUUUCUGCAUCAUCGAGCUAUUACCAGUUAACAACUGCGCAAGCUCGCCAUUCGCUCUUUGACUAUUCGCUCGUUAAACAGACGACUCACUCCUUUUAACUUUCUUCUCAUAUAAUCUUUCGUAUCAACUCUGUCUCCUCCAGUAUUGUUUUCUACGUCUCUCGUCAUUGACUUCUUCAAUGACGGCACGACAGGUGGUAGGAUGAAAUAAGAGAUAGA